rnacentral:misc_RNA from 1 species
UACGGAGGGUCCAAGCGUUGUCCGGAUUCAUUGGGUGUAAAGGGUGCGCAGGUGGGCCUGUAAGUCAGAGGUGAAAUCCCGCAGCUUAACUGUGGAACUGCCUUUGAUACUGCAGGUCUUGAGUCCUGGAGAGGUUGUCGGAAUUCGUGGUGUAGCGGUGAAAUGCGUAGAUAUCACGAGGAACGCCGGAGGUGUAGACGGACAACUGGACAGGUACUGACACUGAGGCACGAAAGCGUGGGGAGCAAACAGG